CAAAGAAAUUCGCUCAGAGAUGGGCUCGCGUCUGAUUAGAUAGUUGGUGAGGUAACGGCUCACCAAGUCGACGAUCAGUAGCCGGACUGAGAGGUUGAACGGCCACAUUGGGACUGAGACACGGCCCAGACUCCUACGGGAGGCAGCAGUGGGGAAUAUUGCACAAUGGGGGAAACCCUGAUGCAGCGAUGCCGCGUGGAGGAAGAAGGUUUUCGGAUUGUAAACUCCUUUUAUCAGGGACGAUAAUGACGGUACCUGAAGAAAAAGCUCCGGCUAACUACGUGCCAGCAGCCGCGGUAAUACGUAGGGAGCGAGCGUUGUCCGGAAUUACUGGGUGUAAAGGGAGCGUAGGCGGGACGGCAAGUCAGAUGUGAAAACUGAGGGCUCAACCUUCAGACUGCAUUUGAAACUGCUGUUCUUGAGUGAAGUAGAGGUAAGCGGAAUUCCUAGUGUAGCGGUGAAAUGCGUAGAUAUUAGGAGGAACAUCGGUGGCGAAGGCGGCUUACUGGGCUUUUACUGACGCUGAGGCUCGAAAGCGUGGGGAGCAAACAGGAUUGGAUACCCUGGUAGUCCACGCUGUAAACGAUGAUUACUAGGUGUGGGGGGACUGACCCCUUCC
rnacentral:rRNA from 1 species